rnacentral:misc_RNA from 2 species
AGCAGCCGCGGUAAUUCCAGCUCCAAUAGCGUAUAUUAAAGUUGUUGCAGUUAAAAAGCUCGUAGUUGAACUUCGGGGUUUACUCAUUGGUCAGGCUUAAUUGUCUGUACUGGUGAGAUAAAUCUCUACCUUCUGAGGAACUUUCAUGCCAUUUACUUGGUGUGAUUGGAAAUCAGGGCUGUUACUUUGAAAAAAUUAGAGUGUUUAAAGCAGGCUCACGCUUGAAUACAUUAGCAUGGAACAAUGAAAUAGGACGUUUGAUUCUAUUUUGUUGGUUUCUAGGAUCGACGUAAUGAUUAAUAGGGAUAGUUGGGGGCAUUAGUAUUCAAUUGUCAGAGGUGAAAUUCUUGGAUUUAUUGAAGACUAACUACUGCGAAAGCAUUUGCCAAGGAUGUUUUCAUUAAUCAAGAACGAAAGUUAGGGGAUCGAAGACGAUCAGAUACCGUCGUAGUCUUAACCAUAAACUAUGCCGACUAGGGAUCGGAUGAUGUUAAUUUUUUAAUGACUCAUUCGGCGCCUU